rnacentral:rRNA from 1 species
CCUACGGGAGGCAGCAGUGGGGAAUUGUUCGCAAUGGGCGCAAGCCUGACGACGCAACGCCGCGUGGAGGAUGAAGGUCUUCGGAUUGUAAACUCCUGUUGCCCGGGACGAAUGGCUUCAACCUAACACGUUGGAGUGUGACGGUACCGGGUGAGGAAGCCCCGGCUAACUCUGUGCCAGCAGCCGCGGUAAU